GAAAUCACUUGGGAAGCUUGAAAACACUUGAUUUCUUCACUUGAAUGCACUCACUCCCUUGAACUUUUCUUUCUUACUUCUCUCUUGAAUGAUCUAGCUUUGGGUUGGUGAAGAGUUGUUGAGAAGCACUUAAGAGGUCCCUUUUAUAGCCCAAAAAGCAAAUAUAGCCGUUAGAGACAAAGUAAAAAGGAUUUGAAAUUCAAACCAAACCUGAAAAGCUGUCAGUCGCGUCCCAGGCGCUCCGGGGACGUCUCCGCUUCAACGAGAGACGUCUCGGCUACAGGAUUUUACUUUUUACGUUGUCUGGGGUCGACUCGGCACUUUAAGGGGACGUCUCGGCUUGUUUGCACUUUUUGAAUGGGGACGACUCCGCUGCUUUGGGGACGACUCCGCUUCUUUAUCUCCGAAAAACAUGUCCUCUGGAAUUCCCUGAGAGAGUCGACUCCGCUCCUUCAGGGGACGUCUCGA
rnacentral:lncRNA from 1 species